UGUGAAUGACAAGAAUGCUGAUG
rnacentral:piRNA from 1 species